CUCCACUUCUCCAUGUCUUUGGACUGCUGUGGCAGUCUCAUUUCCUGGCUGUGGAAGAGCAUCUUCUUGUUUAUUGGCAAGACCAACACCACAUAUCUGGUAUCAGACUCUGACUUGCAGCAUUC
ensembl:snoRNA